rnacentral:rRNA from 1 species
AGCGAACGCUGGCGGCAGGCCUAACGCAUGCAAGUCGAACGGAUCCUUCGGGAUUAGUGGCGGACGGGUGAGUAACACGUGGGAACGUGCCCUUUGGUUCGGAACAACUCAGGGAAACUUGAGCUAAUACCGGAUGUGCCCUUCGGGGGAAAGAUUUAUCGCCAUUGGAGCGGCCCGCGUCUGAUUAGCUAGUUGGUGAGGUAAAGGCUCACCAAGGCGACGAUCAGUAGCUGGUCUGAGAGGAUGAUCAGCCACAUUGGGACUGAGACACGGCCCAAACUCCUACGGGAGGCUGCAGUGGGGAAUCUUGCGCAAUGGGCGAAAGCCUGACGCAGCCAUGCCGCGUGAAUGAUGAAGGUCUUAGGAUUGUAAAAUUCUUUCACCGGGGACGAUAAUGACGGUACCCGGAGAAGAAGCCCCGGCUAACUUCGUGCCAGCCGCCGCGGUAAUAC